UCCUACGGGAGGCAGCAGUAGGGAAUCUUCCGCAAUGGACGAAAGUCUGACGGAGCAACGCCGCGUGAGUGAUGAAGGUUUUCGGAUCGUAAAGCUCUGUUGUUAGGGAAGAACAAGUGCGAGAGUAACUGCUCGCACCUUGACGGUACCUAACCAGAAAGCCACGGCUAACUACGUGCCAGCAGCCGCGGUAAUACGUAGGUGGCAAGCGUUGUCCGGAAUUAUUGGGCGUAAAGGGCUCGCAGGCGGUUUCUUAAGUCUGAUGUGAAAGCCCCCGGCUCAACCGGGGAGGGUCAUUGGAAACUGGGAAACUUGAGUGCAGAAGAGGAGAGUGGAAUUCCACGUGUAGCGGUGAAAUGCGUAGAGAUGUGGAGGAACACCAGUGGCGAAGGCGACUCUCUGGUCUGUAACUGACGCUGAGGAGCGAAAGCGUGGGGAGCGAACAGGAUUAGAUACCCUGGUAGUCCACGCCGUAAACGAUGAGUGCUAAGUGUUAGAGGGUUUCCGCCCUUUAGUGCUGAAGUUAACGCAUUAAGCACUCCGCCUGGGGAGUACGGCCGCAAGGCUGAAACUCAAAGGAAUUGACGGA
rnacentral:rRNA from 1 species